rnacentral:rRNA from 1 species
AGUGAACGCUGGCGGUAGGCCUAACACAUGCAAGUCGAACGGCAGCACAGUAAGAGCUUGCUCUUACGGGUGGCGAGUGGCGGACGGGUGAGGAAUACAUCGGAAUCUACUUUUUCGUGGGGGAUAACGUAGGGAAACUUACGCUAAUACCGCAUACGACCUACGGGUGAAAGCAGGGGAUCUUCGGACCUUGCGCGAUUGAAUGAGCCGAUGUCGGAUUAGCUAGUUGGCGGGGUAAAGGCCCACCAAGGCGACGAUCCGUAGCUGGUCUGAGAGGAUGAUCGGCCACACUGGAACUGAGACACGGUCCAGACUCCUACGGGAGGCAGCAGUGGGGAAUAUUGGACAAUGGGCGAAAGCCUGACCCAGCCACACCGCGUGGGUGAAGAAGGCCUUCGGGUUGUAAAGCCCUUUUGUUGGGAAAGAAAAGCAGCAGGUGAAUACCCCGCUGUUCUGACGGUACCCAAAGAAUAAGCACCGGCUAACUUCGUG